rnacentral:rRNA from 1 species
GACGGAGGAUGCGAGUGUUAUCCGGAAUCACUGGGCGUAAAGCGCGCGUAGGCGGCUUUGCAAGUCGGGUGUGAAAUCCCCAGGCUUAACCUGGGAACUGCAUUCGAGACUGCAUUGCUAGAGUAUGGGAGAGGGAAUUGGAAUUUCCGGUGUAGCGGUGAAAUGCGUAGAUAUCGGAAGGAACAUCAGUGGCGAAAGCGACUUCCUGGACCAAUACUGACGCUCAUGUGCGAAAGCGUGGGGAGCAAACAGG